UUUAAGUAGCAUCUUUUUUAUUGCUGCCGCCAAUUUGUAAAAAAGAAUGGCUCUGUCUUGCCCACAAACCCUCCUCCACGGCCACCGCCGGAAUCCCUCGCCAGUGGCGAGAACACUCUUUAUUUCCGACAUUUCCGCCGCUGCACCGCCGCGGCAACCUCAACUCCACUCCAAGCUAGUUCUAAAACAGCCCCCACUUUCACCCAUCUUUAUUAAACCCUCCAAACCCCACCACUCCAAAUCCGUCAACACCAACGUGAAAUCCCUUUUCACCGGAAUCGUGGAAGAAAUGGGAACAAUCAAGCACCUGGGCUUCGAUCAACCCGACAGCUUCACUAUGAAAAUCCAAGCAAAAACCGUUCUUGAAGGCGUGCACUUGGGUGACAGCAUCGCCGUCAACGGCACCUGCCUAACGGUGACGGAGUACGACACCGUUUUGGGAGAAUUCUCGGUGGGAUUGGCGCCGGAGACGCUGCGGAAGACUUCACUGGGCGAAUUGGAGAGUGGGUCUUUGGUCAAUUUGGAGAGUGGGUCUUUGGUCAAUUUGGAGAGGGCGUUGAGCCCUAGCACCAGAAUGGGGGGACAUUUCGUGCAGGGGCACGUCGAUGGGACCGGAGAAAUCGCCGAAUUGAGGGCGGAGGGGGACUCGCUGUGGGUGAAGGUGAAAGUUGGGAGGGAGAUUUUGAGGUACAUUGUGCCUAAGGGGUUUAUUGCUGUGGAUGGAACGAGUUUGACUGUGGUGGAUGUGUUUGAUGAUGAAGGGUGCUUCAAUUUCAUGUUGGUGGCUUACACACAGCAGAAAGUUGUGAUCGCUUUGAAGAAAGUUGGGCAGAAGGUGAAUUUGGAGGUUGAUAUUUUGGGGAAGUAUGUGGAGAGGCUUCUCAGCAGCGGCUUCGUGGAUUCGUUCAAAUCGUCAUGAAGUAAAGCUUCUUUCAUUAGUGUUUUGUGUGCUAUGCCUUGUUUUUGGAAUAUUUGCUUAUGAUCCAUUGCUGUGUUUGUUGUGUUUCUUGAUGAAUGAAUAUGGUGGUUCUAGUGUCUUGGUAGAAAAACUAGAGAAACGGAACUAUUUGUUGCUUGUUCAUAUGGAAACCUAGAUAAUCUUAGGUUGCAAGCUCACAAUUACUACAAAAUUGUGGUUGCACCUGAAUGCAGCAUAUGAAUAGCAUUGUCGUUUUGCUUGAUUUGUUAUCGUUGUUCCAUUUAUUAAAAGGCAUGCAUGUGAUUGGCCUUUGCCGUUUGUUGGUCCAAGUAGAUUGGUGAUAAUUCGGAAAACAUGAUGGAAUUGAUGAGUGAUUUCUCUCUGGCUUAGCUCUGCUUGAGUUUAUAGCUUCUAAAUCCUAAAAGAAAGAUAGAAACUUUUCCUACCACGCAACUGAAACUUUGCUGAGGAGGCCUAAGUUGGCGACUGCUAGAACAACAUUAAGAAAUUAUUCCUUUUGUUGCUAUUGCUUGACUAGAUGAGUUUUAAACUUAUGAGUAGUGCUUAGAAAGUUCGCUAGGUGCCACUCUGGGUGUGUUAAGUGGCUAGUUGUUACGCAAGAAUUGUAUACGGGAUGCUCCAGCCUUCGUUAAUCUAGUAGUUCUGUCUUGACUUUGUAGUUUUUAUAUGAGAAGUCGAUCAUUUAGUAGAAUGCAUCUGUGUCGUGAACCAAAUUCAGGAUCUGGCUUAAUCUCUCAAAUAUACUUAAUUUCAAACUCUAUGGUCACUGCAUACUCAAUCUGUGAGAAUCUGAGAAACUGAACUGCUUAAUCACAAGCACUCUAUGAUAUUCUUCCCCGAACAAACUCUCUUAAUAAAUACUCCCUCUGUCCCAUUAAAAGUGACUCAUUUUCUUUUGGUACGGAGAUUAAGGAUAAGGUGUAUAUUGAAUAAAAGUGGUAGGACCCACACCUUUUCAAGAAUUAAUUAUUACUUUUAUAGAAUGGAAAACGAACCACUUUUUACGGGAUGGAGGGAGUAUCUCGUUUUUGAAGGGUGUUGAUGAAAUCUCUUCAUCCCUCGUGUUACGAAGAAUAGAAAGGAGAAAUAGCUUAAACGUUCUAUGUCACAAGGAAUGUAUUCGAUUCUUUGAUAAUUUCUCUUUUAGAUAAAUAUAUAUAUCUUGAUGUUCUUACAAAGUGACCAUUCUGCAUUUUUUGCGCUAUGGAAUCUGCACAUUUUUUUUCAAAUUUCGAGGGCUUCUAUACGAGGUAGGAUUAGUAGCCAUCAUGUUUGAUACUAAAAUCGUCUUAAAACAGCCGGGAAGUGGGAGAGUGAGCUAGAACAGCUGAGAGGCUAGUUGGUUCUUGAACAUUUUAGAUGUAGUUCAAUAACCUAGUUUAGUUGUUUCCCACUGCUUAACUCCUCAUAGAAUUUCGACAAAUGAGGAUUGGAACACUGAAUGUGAUACCAAGAUCCUUGAAGCUCUUCUCGUUAACAGCCUUAGGCGUGCACAGUUUCUUCAAGUCGUGCAUACCUCAAUUGCAGCGUUCUGUUUUCUUGAGAAGCUUCGACUAUUUUAGUUUUCUGGGCCGCUGUUUCCUGCUCGAAUUCGUCUUUGUUGGUCUUGAUUCUCUCUACUUGAUUCUAGUUUAAUUGCAGAAGUCAUUUGUAUAAUUUCCAGCAAUAAUCUGUUUUUACAUACAUGGCAUAUCUGAUUUGCAACAAAAUAGGAAAAAGAAAUUAUGUGGCAGGAUUUGUGUUUGAUACUAUGAAAUCAAUUACAGGAGCUCAUAUCGUGGUUCGUGUUCAAGUUCGUGGUUUGUGUUUGUGUUUGUGUUCGUGGUUGAGAGGAAGCUCUUUCCACUAACAGAUAUAGAGUUAAUUUCGUUCAGCUCUGAACUAUAUUUAUUGUACCAGUUCAAAAUAAUAUUUAUGUUUUUCCUUUUUUUUUCUUUUACUGGGAAAAACAAUUUCAUAUACUAAUGUAGUAAAUUAGUGUAUGAUGUAACCGUGUAGCCACAAUGAUCAAUGAAAUAUCGGAUUUGUUAUA